rnacentral:rRNA from 1 species
AUUGAACGCUGGCGGCAGGCCUAACACAUGCAAGUCGAACGGUAACAGGAAGCAGCUUGCUGCUUCGCUGACGAGUGGCGGACGGGUGAGUAAUGUCUGGGAAGCUGCCUGAUGGAGGGGGAUAACUACUGGAAACGGUAGCUAAUACCACAUAAUGUCGCAAGACCAAAGAGGGGGACCUUCGGGCCUCUUGCCAUCGGAUGUGCCCAGAUGGGAUUAGCUUGUUGGUGGGGUAACGGCUCACCAAGGCGACGAUCCCUAGCUGGUCUGAGAGGAUGACCAGCCACACUGGAACUGAGACACGGUCCAGACUCCUACGGGAGGCAGCAGUGGGGAAUAUUGCACAAAGGGCGCAAGCCUGAUGCAGCCAUGCCGCGUGUAUGAAGAAGGCCUUCGGGUUGUAAAGUACUUUCAGCGGGGAGGAAGGGAGUAAAGUUAAUACCUUUGCUCAUUGACGUUACCCGCAGAAGAAGCACCGGCUAACUCCGUG